AGUUUUGAGCUAAAUAUAUUAUAAUAUUAGUUAUUUAUGAAGGUGUUGUAAAACCUUAUUAAAAAUUAUAUUUAGGGGUGAUAGGCCUUUCAAAAACUAAGAUAUCUUGAAUCUAAUUAAAAGUAUGUAGUACAUUCAACACAACUAUAAAGUGAUUAGGCUUUAUAGAACUAUUAACAUAUAAAGAUUUUAUUUAUUAUAAUUUAAUAAUUAAGUAUAUAAAUACAAUAAUAUUCAUAUAUUAUAGCUUAUAAGGAGUAAUUAGAUAAAUUUAAGUUCAUAAAUUUUGUAAUAAUGUUAAUAUUAGUAUUUAGUUUAUAUUUAUAUGAUGAACUCGGCAAAAAUGCUUCUCAACUGUUUAUCAAAAACAUAACUAUGUGUAUAAAUACAUAGCGGUUUCUGCUCAA
rnacentral:rRNA from 1 species